AUUGAACGCUGGCGGCAGGCCUAACACAUGCAAGUCGAGCGGAUGAGGGUAGCUUGCUACCUGAUACAGCGGCGGACGGGUGAGUAAUGCCUAGGAAUCUGCCUGGUAGUGGGGGACAACGUUUCGAAAGGAACGCUAAUACCGCAUACGUCCUACGGGAGAAAGUGGGGGAUCUUCGGACCUCACGCUAUCAGAUGAGCCUAGGUCGGAUUAGCUAGUUGGUGGGGUAAAGGCUCACCAAGGCGACGAUCCGUAACUGGUCUGAGAGGAUGAUCAGUCACACUGGAACUGAGACACGGUCCAGACUCCUACGGGAGGCAGCAGUGGGGAAUAUUGGACAAUGGGCGCAAGCCUGAUCCAGCCAUGCCGCGUGUGUGAAGAAGGUCUUCGGAUUGUAAAGCACUUUAAGUUGGGAGGAAGGGCAGUAAGUUAAUACCUUGCUGUUUUGACGUUACCGACAGAAUAAGCACCGGCUAACUCUGUGCCAGCA
rnacentral:rRNA from 1 species